GUCUUUUUGUUAUAUAUUUAAAGUCUGGCCUGCCCACUGAAAAAUUGAAUGGCCGCGGUAUUUUGACCGUGCUAAGGUAGCAUAAUCAUUAGUUUUUUAAUUGAAAGCUGGAAUGAAGGGUUGGAUGAGAAAAAGACUGUCUCUAUUUAAAAUAUAGAAUUUUAUUUUUAAGUUAAAAAGCUUAAAUGUAGUUAAAAGACGAGAAGACCCUAUAGAGUUUUAUAAAAAUUAUUUUUUUUAUAUAUUUAGGAUUUUUUGUAUAAAAAAAUAAAUUUAUUUAAUUGGGGUGAUUGAAAAAUUUAAAUAACUUUUUUUUUAUUAGUAUAUUUUUAAAUAAAUAUUUGAUCCAUAUUUUUGAUGAUUAUAAGAAUAAAUUACCUUAGGGAUAACAGCGUAAUUUUAUUGGAGAGUUCUUAUCGAUAAUAAAGAUUGCGACCUCGAUGUUGGAUUAAAAUUUAAUAUAGGUGUAGAAGCUUAUAAGUUAAGUCUGUUCGACUUUUAAAAUUUUACA
rnacentral:rRNA from 1 species